rnacentral:lncRNA from 1 species
CCAAAGAAUCUCUCACUUCUCUCAAAAAAAUCUCUCUUAUUUUUCUCUACUCUUGGAUUUUAUUUUUUUUGCUCUCAACCUUGCUGUAAAACUUUCUCAAGGCCCUCUCUUUAAAUAGAGCUCGUCAUCAGGUGAAAUUUGAUCCAAAUCGUGUUUAAAAACGGACUCCAUUUUGAUGUAGAAAUCAAACAAGUUUCUCUGCCGUCCGAUCUUCAUUGCAUGUUUGGAAGCGCCUGAAAACAAUCACGUAACAGCCCAAAACAAAUCGGAGAACUGUCCUCAGUCGUCUGAUCAAAAUCAGGAAGAAGCAGAGCCAUUCAAUCGCGUCAAUGAAGUGGGCCACCAUCGUUUUACAUGGUAAAGAGGAACCUCGGCCAUCCGAUCGCGUGUAUGGUGCGAUCUCGACCAUCGGAUGGCACUCAGAUCUCGUGGACCGCCGGUGAACUGCGUCUGGUCCAUGGACAAGUCCUCCUUAACCUUCUUCUAUUAAUAAUCCACGGCACAACGAAGUACAAAGAUUGGAGAAGAAAUUUAGAGGCUCACUCAGACUCUUUUACAAAAGAAAAACACUCUUUUUCUCUCCAAAGAAUCUCUCACCUCUCUUAGAAAAAUCUCUCUUAUUUUUCUCUACUCUCGGAUUUUUUUUUCUGCUCUCAACCUUGCUGUAAAACUUUUCUGAGUCCCUCCCUUUAAAUAGAGCUCGUCAUCAGGUGAAAUCUGGUCCAAACCGCGUAAAAAACGGACUCCAUUUUGAUGUAGAAAUCAAACAAGUUUUCCUGCGGUUCGAUCUUCAUCGCAUGUUUGGAAGCGCCUAAAAACAAUCACGUAACAGCCCAAAACAAAUCGGAGAACUGUCUUCAAUCGUCCGAUCAAAAUCAGGAAGAAGCAGAGCCAUUCGAUCGCGUCAAUGAAGUGGGCCACCAUCGUUUUAUAUGGUAAAGAGGAACCUCGGCCAUCUGAUCACAUGUAUGGUGUGAUCUCGACCGUCGGAUGGCGCUCAGAUCUCAUGGACCGUCGGUGAACUACGUCUGGUCCAUGGAAGAAUGCAUGCACCAAUCAGCCCUUACACCGCCUGGGCUUGGGCCGGCGUUUUUGCUCGCGCGCCUGCGUGCGUGGGCCUGGGCUGCCUUUCUGGGUCUGGGCCGGCUGAACAUGGGUUUCAACCUAUUAAUUCUCCCACUUGAAGACAUGUGCUGAACUCAUAAGAACGUCAUCUCUGGAGGUCUUGCCAACCUCCCACUCUUCACGUAGUUUCGAGAUCGACAGAAGCUUUACUCCAAUUGAACUUCUCUCGAGUCAUCGACUUUGUCAAAACAUUUGCUGGAUUUGCAUCAGUAUGAAUUUUCAGUAAUGAAACUAGACCAUCAUCAACCACAUCUCUCACAAAGUAAUAGUGAAUGUCAAUAUGCUUCAUCCGAGAGUGAAACAUCGGAUUUUUCGUCAAGUGCAACGCGCUUUGACUAUCACAAUUCACUCUCAUCAUAUCUUACUUCAUCUUGAAGUCUCCAAGAAGCCUUUUGAGUCAGAUAGCUUUUUUGCAUGCGUGUGCCACUAUAAUAUACUCUGCCUCUGUCGUUGAUAAUGUCACUACUAACUUAAGCUUAGACUCCCAGUUAAGAGCACCGCCGCCCAUGGAGAACACAUAGCCUGUGGUAGAUCUCUUGUCUCGAUCACCUACAAAAUCAGAAUCAACAUAUCCAAUGCACUCCAAACUUGCUGAACCAUAACAGAGUGAAUGAUCAGUCGUCCCCCUC